GAAGGAAAACAGAAAAUAUUUUUAUCCUCUUUAAAAAUGAGUGAAAGGAAAGAAAAACCACAGAGCUCUGUUAGUUAAAUGUAAAAAGUCCUAUUAUGUAUGGACACUGAGUGUCUGAUGCUUGUCUAGAGAGGGGAGAGUGAGAAUUGGGUCCCAGGUCCUCGUUUUUUCUGUCUCUCAGCAUCAGACGGAGUGGAGGGGGAAACGCAAGGUUAAGAUGAAAAACAGAGCUUUGAAAGUUUUCAGAGAUUGCCUGGAAGAGGUUCGGGCCCUGACUUCACGUCUACAAAGCCACCUGGGCAGGCUCCCUGACAAGGGCAGCUCUCAUCAGCUCUCCUAUCAAGACCCCCCUGGUGAGGUGUGCAGAGCAGCGUCUGCUGGAGCCCACCCGCCCUGCAGGGAACCUGCAGAAGAGGCUGUUCCUGCCACGUGCCCAUCAGCUGCCCUGGCUCCUCUGACCCAGGGUUCUUUACCU